UACGUAUUUAGCCGGGGCUUCUUAGUCAAGUACCGUCAUUUUCUUCCUUGCUGAUAGAAGUUUACAUACCGAAAUACUUCUUCCUUCACGCGGCGUCGCUGCAUCAGGGUUUCCCCCAUUGUGCAAUAUUCCCUACUGCUGCCUCCCGUAGGAGUUUGGGCCGUGUCUCAGUCCCAAUGUGGCCGAUCACUCUCUCAAGUCGGCUACUGAUCGUCGCCUUGGUAGGCCGUUACCCCACCAACUAGCUAAUCAGACGCGGGUCCAUCUUGUACCACCGGAGUUUUUUACACUGUAUCAUGCGAUACUGUGCACUUAUGCGGUAUUAGCAGCUGUUUCCAACUGUUAUCCCCCUGUACAAGGCAGGUUACCCACGCGUUACUCACCCGUCCGCCACUCAGUCAUAUGAAUCUUUAUUCCGAAGAACUCCGUCUCAUAUGCUUCGUUCGACUUGCAUGUAUUAAGCACGCCGCCAGCGUUCAUCCUGAGCCAGGAUCAAACUC
rnacentral:rRNA from 1 species